rnacentral:rRNA from 1 species
CACGUAGGGGGCGAGCGUUGUCCGGAAUCAUUGGGCGUAAAGAGCUCGUAGGCGGCUCAGUAAGUCGGGUGUGAAACCCUCAGGCUCAACCUGGGGACGCCACCCGAUACUGCUGUGGCUAGAGUCCAGUAGGGGAGUGUGGAAUUCCCGGUGUAGCGGUGAAAUGCGCAGAUAUCGGGAGGAACACCAGCGGCGAAGGCGGCACUCUGGGCCGAAACUGACGCUGAGGAGCGAAAGCGUGGGUAGCAAACAGG